rnacentral:rRNA from 1 species
AGAGUUUGAUCCUGGCUCAGGACUAACGCUGGCGGCGAGCAUAACACAUGCAAGUCGAACGGGGGUAGCAAUACCCCAGUGGCAGACGGGUGAGUAACACGUGGUCAACCUACCUCUGUGUGGGGGAUAACUAGCCGAAAGGUUAGCUAAUACCGCAUACGAUCGUUUUGAGGCAUCUCGAGACGAUGAAAGGAGCAAUCCGCACGGAGAGGGGACUGCGUCCCAUUAGUUAGUUGGUGGGGUAACGGCCUACCAAGACUCCGAUGGGUAGCUGGCUUGAGAGAGCGACCAGCCACACUGGAACUGAGACACGGUCCAGACUCCUACGGGAGGCAGCAGUGAGGAAUUUUCCGCAAUGGGCGAAAGCCUGACGGAGCGACGCCGCGUGUGGGAUGAAGGCCUUCGGGUCGUAAACCACUGUCGAAGGGGACGA